rnacentral:rRNA from 1 species
UACGUAGGGUGCGAGCGUAAUCGGAAUUACUGGGCGUAAAGCGUGCGCAGGCGGUUCGUUGUGUCGGCGGUGAAAGCCCCGGGCUUAACCUGGGAAUGGCCGUUGAAACUGGCGAACUGGAGUGUGGCAGAGGGGGUGGAAUUCCGCGUGUAGCAGUGAAAUGCGUAGAUAUCGGGAGGAACACCUGUGGCGAAAGCGGCGCACUGGACCAUAACUGACGCUGAUGCGCGAAAGCUAGGGGAGCAAACAGG